GGCAAAGGCUGCCGGGUGAGAGGCAGGAGGAACAGCGCUAGGAAGGUUUGAGGAGGUGCUGCCCCCAGGAGGGAAGUGGGGUGGCUCCCCAUGGCUUCUCCCGGGGCUGGCACUGAAGCUGGAGCACAGGAUGUGCUGACGGAGGUCCAGAGGCAGAGUCCUUAACUUACUCAGCUUAAGCGUGGCAUGGAGUCCCAACUGGGAGGGGCCCUGGCAGCAUGAAACCCCCACCCCCACUCUCUGCGACGGCCCAGAUGGAGGGCAGGAGGAACAGCGGUUCAGCCCUGGCUGGGGCUGCAGGGGCUGGGGUGUGUUACUCACUGGCACGACGGAGAACUGCAUGAAGAGGCAGGGCAUAAGACCCCAUUCCAGGAGGGUCCUGCUCCAUGCCCAGAAGGAAGGAAUGCUGCUCAGAAAGUUCAAGAAAUCUAGACCAACAGCCCUCGCUGCGCUUCCCCUUGUGGUCCAGGAGCAUUGGUGCAGGUCCCUUGGUUCAUCUGUGUUCCCGCAUGGAUGUCCAUACUUUGUUGAGCCUAAGCAUCAGAAAUGGCAAUUUCCCCCAUAUCUUUUUUUUUUUUUUUUUUUGAGACGGAGUCUUGCUCUGUCACCCAGGCCGAAGUGCAGUGGCGCGAUCUCGGCUCUCUGCAAGCUCCGCCUCCCGGGUUCACGCCAUUCUCCUGCCUCAGCCUCCCGAGUAGCUGGGACUACAGGCGCCCGCCACAGCCCCCGCUAAUUUUUUUGUAUUUUUAGUAGAGACGGAGUUUCACCGUGUUAGCCAGGAUGGUCUCGAUCUCCUGACCUCGUGAUCCGCCCCCCUCGGCCUCCCAAAGUGCUGGGAUUACAGGCUUGAGCCACCGCGCCCAGCCUGUUUCCCCCAUAUCUUUGGGUCUUUGUUCUGAAAACUCCCAUUCACACACGUCAAUAAAUUUGGGGACCAAAUGCCUUUUGUCCA
rnacentral:lncRNA from 1 species